UACGUAGGGCGCGAGCGUUGUCCGGAAUUAUUGGGCGUAAAGAGCUCGUAGGCGGCCUGUUGCGUCCGCUGUGAAAUCCCGGGGCUUAACCCCGGGCCUGCAGUGGGUACGGGCAGACUAGAGUGCGGUAGGGGAGACUGGAAUUCCUGGUGUAGCGGUGAAAUGCGCAGAUAUCAGGAGGAACACCGGUGGCGAAGGCGGGUCUCUGGGCCGUAACUGACGCUGAGGAGCGAAAGCGUGGGGAGCGAACAGG
rnacentral:rRNA from 1 species